AUGGAUCCUAAUCAAUUUAAUUAUCAACAAUCUAUGUUCAAUUUCAUACAAAAUUUUCAAAAUCCUAAUCCUCAAAAUUCUCAAUUCCCAUCAAUGCCAACAAACUCCGCCGCUUUUUUUCCGUCAUCAACCGGAAACACUCCGCCGCAUUUUUUUCCGUCACCAAACUCCACCAUAUGGUCAACCAUCUAUGGAAUUUUUUCGUCAUGA